UACGAAGGGGGCUAGCGUUGUUCGGAUUUACUGGGCGUAAAGCGCACGUAGGCGGAUCGAUCAGUCAGGGGUGAAAUCCCAGGGCUCAACCCUGGAACUGCCUUUGAUACUGUCGAUCUGGAGUAUGGAAGAGGUGAGUGGAAUUCCGAGUGUAGAGGUGAAAUUCGUAGAUAUCGGGAGGAACACCAGUGGCGAAGGCGGCUUCCUGGCCUGUUCUUGACGCUGAGGCGCGAAAGCUAGGGGAGCAAACGGGG
rnacentral:rRNA from 1 species